rnacentral:rRNA from 1 species
CCUACGGGUGGCUGCAGUGAGGAAUAUUGGUCAAUGGCCGCAAGCCUGAACCAGCCAAGUAGCGUGAAGGAUGACUGCCCUACGGGUUGUAAACUUCUUUUGUCAAGGAAUAAAGUCAGGCACGUGUGCCUUUUUGUAUGUACUUUAUGAAUAAGCAUCGGCUAACUCCGUGCCAGCAGCCGCGGUAAUACGGAGGAUCCGAGCGUUAUCCGGAUUUAUUGGGUUUAAAGGGAGCGUAGGCGGGUUGUUAAGUCAGUGGUGAAAGUUUGGGGCUCAACCGUAAAAGUGCAGUUGAAACUGGCUGUCUUGAGAACAGUUGAGGUAGGCGGAAUGCGUGGUGUAGCGGUGAAAUGCUUAGAUAUCACGAAGAACUCCGAUUGCGAAGGCAGCAUACUAACCUGGAUCUGACACUGAUGCUCGAAAGUGUGGGUAUCGAACAGGAUUAGAUACCCGAGUAGUC